rnacentral:lncRNA from 1 species
UGGAAAGAAUGAGAACGCGACUCCGUGUAUUUGAAGCUUCUAAGUCUCGAAGUUCCAAACGUUUCUGGCUCUGAAGAGUCCUCACAGAGAAGAGCAGAUUUCUAAUGUUUAGUUUCUGUGUUGGGUAGCCCCAUGUCCAGAUGACAUAGAGAUGCAUUUAAAGCCUUCAGCUGUUGGGCUGAGGGCAGAACCCAGAAGCAGAGCAACUUGCCUACCUGGUAGGAUUUCCAGUACUGCAAAACGAAAACUCUUAAGGUUCUCUGAGUAAAUGAGAGGAGAAGACUAAGACCACCUCUACAAAUCCGACCUCUAAGCGGGGAGCAGUCGGGAAGCCGGUCACAGCCGCUUCUGGAGGUGCAGGAGGUCUCUCUGCCUUCACUGCAGGGAAAUAGAAGGUCCCUCAUCUGUCCCCAGAAGAGCACCUUAUAUCAGCAAGCGGACCCCUGGCACCUGCCAUUGCAGCUUCCAUUGUGCAGCCACAUGUCCCCACCACGACUACCUAGCUCCAAUGUCACAUGGCCUGCAAAAAGGAUCUACCAUUGGAGCCAAAGCUCACCCCACUGGAGCACUAAUGUUGAGCAAAUUGGCUUUCGAAUCAUUCGUUUUCUUCACCAGGAGGGACAAGCUAUCAAUAGACACCUGGGACACGAUUCAGUCUGUUGUAACUGCAACCCUGAGCCAGAAGGAGCGUGCAGAGAACUUCCCUCCCUAGCUCCAUUUCUACACAAACGAUUUACUGUAACUCUUCUACAGUGCUUACACAACAAAUAAAGGUAGCACCGGAGACCGUGGCAUUGGUCUACAGUAAUGAGCACGGACCCUGACACCCCAUGAUGUCACAGACACUGGGAGACACCCUGGGGACAUCUCGAGGCUGAGAGCCAGGACGGCCCAAGAGGGAGGGCUUGAACUGAGUGCAGACACGUACCUUACUAAGUAAACUCAUAAUCUUAUCAGGAUUUUGCUGUGGGGAAAUC